rnacentral:snRNA from 1 species
AGAUGUGAGGGUGACCUGGCUGUGACAUCUGUCACUAGGCUAGGCAGGUGUACUCUUCCUCCCUUACAGCUCCUUGUGCAUCCACAUCAAAGUUGCGCACUCCAUCCAAGAGGGGGACCUUCCCCAAAGAGAGGAGGACCCAUCUUGGGUCAAGCAUACACAGGUAGCCAGGCUCCCCUGCCAAAACCUCCAGGCAAGCUCUCAAGAAAGCCACUCUGGUGGCCCAUGCUUUUAAUCUCCAGCACUCUGGAGGCAGAGGUAAGAGGAUCUCUGGGAGUUUGUCUGUCUGUUUUUGUUU